rnacentral:lncRNA from 1 species
ACAAUUCCAUACUUUCAUUUCAAUAUUCGAGAGAAACUCAAUCAGAAACAUUCACGAGUCAAGUAACUCGUCAAUAAAACAACAAAAGCAUCCGAUCAAUUCCAAAAAAAAAUCACAAUCUUAUUGUCAAAAUAACAAUCACUCCGAUCAAGUUUACAAAAAAAAAACUAAAUCAGAAUCUGAAGAAAAAACGAUUCAUGAGCAAUCAGAGAUG